GUGUAUAUAAUUUUAUAUGGCGGCUUUUUGUUCAGGUUAUUGUUUUCUUUUUUUUUUAAUUGUUUAACUUGAUUAUAAACAUCUGACAGCGGUAUACUACUUUUUUGUGUUUGUUCACCCCUUAUGUUAUUGAUUUUAUAUUUACAUUGUAUCAUAGAUCAAAUUUAUUCGUUCAGUUUAUUUUCACUUGUGUUAAUAUGUCUCUUGAUUGAGUUAAGCCAUUGCAAGUAAUAUUUAUAGUGUUUCUUUCUAUGUUGUGAUGUUACACAAUUGUUUGAGAUAAUGAUAAAGGUCGGUACCUUAAAACCUGCUUCAUUUGUUUGCAGCUGUCAUAAAUUAGGAAUCUGAUGUUCAGUAGUUGUCGUUUGUUGAUGUGGUUCAUAAGUGUUUCUAGUUUCUCGUUUUAUAUAUAGAUUAUACCGUUGGUUUUCCCCUUGAAUUGUUUUACACAUGUCAUCGUAAUUUUUUGGGUCCUUUAUAGCUUGCUGUUCGGUGUGAGCCAAGGCAUCGUCUUGAAGACCGUACUUUGACCUAUAAUGGUGAACUUUUACAAAUUGUGACUACGAUGGAGAGUUGUCUUAUUGAUACUCAUACCAAAUCUUCUUUUAUC
rnacentral:lncRNA from 1 species